rnacentral:misc_RNA from 1 species
GAAGAAAUCACCUAGUGUUUUUCUCUUGUGAUCAUUCUUUAAAAAAAAUACUAUCAUCUGGAGCAAGGCAAUUGAAAUGUCCUUCUGGCCAUCAACUACUUGAAUAAAGUGUGCUUCGAAGAAACUUAGCCUUUUUCCUGUUACAGGUCAGCUAAACAAAAUUACAAUAAGUGAAGCAGAAUGGGCAACAGUAAUGAGGUGAUAACAAAUAAACUUUUGAGUUGAAACAUCCAAAGUGCAUUUUGGGUCCUAUCACACAGCUGGACACGUGCUAGACAAGCAUAGUUGAAAAC